rnacentral:rRNA from 1 species
UACGUAGGGGGCAAGCGUUGUCCGGAUUCAUUGGGCGUAAAGAGCGUGUAGGCGGCCAGGUAGGUCGGUUGUGAAAACUGGAGGCUCAACCUUCAGAGGUCGACCGAAACCAUCUGGCUAGAGUCCGGGAGAGGAGAGUGGAAUUCCUGGUGUAGCGGUGAAAUGCGCAGAUAUCAGGAAGAACACCCGUGGCGAAAGCGGCUCUCUGGAACGGUACUGACGCUGAGACGCGAAAGCUAGGGUAGCAAACGGG